rnacentral:rRNA from 1 species
CAUUGUUAAGGAACUCGGCAAAAUGACUCCGUAACUUCGGGAGAAGGAGUGCCAGUAAGAUGGCCGCAGAGAAUUGGCCCAAGCAACUGUUUAGCAAAAACACAGGUCUAUGCAAAACCGAAAGGUGAGGUAUAUGGGCUGACGCCUGCCCGGUGCUGGAAGGUUAAGGGGAGAGGUUAGCGCAAGCGAAGCUUUGAACUUAAGCCCCAGUAAACGGCGGCCGUAACAAUAACGGUCCUAAGGUAGCGAAAUUCCUUGUCGGGUAAGUUCCGACCCGCACGAAAGGCGUAAUGAUUUGGGCACUGUCUCAACAAUGCACCCGGUGAAAUUGAAAUACCAGUGAAGAUGCUGGUUACCUGCGCCAGGACGGAAAGACCCCAUGGAGCUUUACUCCAGCUUGAUACUGGGAUUCGGUAUUGCAUGUACAGGAUAGGUGGGAGGCUAGGAAAUGGUAACGCCAGUUGCCAUGGAGCCAAUGUUGGGAUACCACCCUUGCAGUACUGGGUUUCUAACCAGCAGCCGUGAUCCGGCUGGGGGACAAUGUCAGGUGGGGAGUUUGACUGGGGCGGUCGCCUCCGAAAGGGUAUCGGAGGCGCUCAAAGGUUCCCUCAGAAUGGUUGGAAACCAUUCGAAGAGUGCAAAGGCAGAAGGGAGCUUGACUGCGACACCGACGGGUGGAGCAGGUACGAAAGUAGGACUUAGUGAUCCGGUGGUAUAAAGUGGGAUUGCCAUCGCUCAACGGAUAAAAGCUACCCUGGGAUAACAGGCUUAUCACUCCCAAGAGUUCACAUCGACGGAGUGGUUUGGCACCUCGAUGUCGGCUCAUCGCAUCCUGGGGCUGAAGUAGGUCCCAAGGGUUGGGCUGUUCGCCCAUUAAAGCGGUACGCGAGCUGGGUUCAGAACGUCGUGAGACAGUUCGGUCCCUAUCCGGCGUGGGCGUAAGAUAUUUGAGAGGAGCUGUCCUUAGUACGAGAGGACCGGGAUGGACUGGCCGCUGGUGUAUCUGUUGUCUUACCAAAGGCAUAGCAGAGUAGCCAAGCCGGGAAGGGAUAAACGCUGAAGGCAUCUAAGCGUGAAGCCCCCCUCAAGAUGAGAUAUCUCAUAACGUCAAGUUAGUAAGACCCCUUGAAGACGACGAGGUAGAUAGGGCAGAGGUGGAAGUGUGGUAACACAUGGAGCUGACUGUUACUAAUAGGUCGAGGGCAUAAUC